rnacentral:rRNA from 1 species
CCUACGGGGCGCUGCAGUCGAGAAUCAUUCACAAUGGGGGAAACCCUGAUGGUGCGACGCCGCGUGGGGGAAUGAAGGUCUUCGGAUUGUAAACCCCUGUCAUGUGGGAGCAAAUUAAAAAGAUAGUACCACAAGAGGAAGAGACGGCUAACUCUGUGCCAGCAGCCGCGGUAAUACAGAGGUCUCAAGCGUUGUUCGGAAUCACUGGGCGUAAGGCGUGCGUAGGCUGUGUCGUAAGUCGUGUGUGAAAGGCGCGGGCUCAACCCGCGGACGGCACAUGAUACUGCGAGACUAGAGUAAUGGAGGGGGAACCGGAAUUCUCGGUGUAGCAGUGAAAUGCGUAGAUAUCGAGAGGAACACUCGUGGCGAAGGCGGGUUCCUGGACAUUAACUGACGCUGAGGCACGAAGGCCAGGGGAGCGAAAGGGAUUAGAUACCCCUGUAGUC